rnacentral:rRNA from 1 species
UACGAAGGGUGCAAGCGUUACUCGGAAUUACUGGGCGUAAAGGGUGCGUAGGCGGGUCUUUAAGUCAGGGUGAAAUCCUGGAGCUCAACUCCAGAACUGCCUUUGAUACUGAAGAUCUUGAGUUCGGGAGAGGUGAGUGGAACUGCGAGUGUAGAGGUGAAAUUCGUAGAUAUUCGCAAGAACACCAGUGGCGAAGGCGGCUCACUGGCCCGAUACUGACGCUGAGGCACGAAAGCGUGGGGAGCAAACAGGG